GACGAACGCUGGCGGCGUGCUUAACACAUGCAAGUCGAACGGGGUCCAAGGGUGAGCAAUCACCCAGAAGACCCAGUGGCGAACGGGUGAGUAACACGUGAGGAACCUAUCCCAGACUCAGGGAUAACAGACGGAAACGUCUGCUAAUACCUGAUGCCGUCGGAGCACCACAUGAUGCGCUGACGAAAGAUUUUUCGGUUUGGGAGGGCCUCGCGGCCUAUCAGCUAGUUGGUGGGGUAACGGCCUACCAAGGCAUCGACGGGUAGCUGGUCUGAGAGGAUGAUCAGCCACACUGGGACUGAGACACGGCCCAGACUCCUACGGGAGGCAGCAGUGGGGAAUCUUGCGCAAUGGGCGAAAGCCUGACGCAGCAACGCCGCGUGCGGGAAGAAGGCCUUAGGGUUGUAAACCGCUUUCAGUAGGAACGAAAAUGACGGUACCUGCAGAAGAAGGUGCGGCCAACUACGUGCCAGCAGCCGCGGUGACACGUAGGCACCAAGCGUUGUCCGGAUUUAUUGGGCGUAAAGAGCUCGUAGGCGGUUGAGUAAGUCGGGUGUGAAAACUCUGGGCUUAACCCAGAGCCGCCACCCGAUACUGCUCUGACUUGAGUUCGGUAGGGGAGCAGGGAAUUCCUAGUGUAGCGGUGAAAUGCGCAGAUAUUAGGAGGAACACCGGUGGCGAAGGCGCUGCUCUGGGCCGAUACUGACGCUGAGGAGCGAAAGCGUGGGUAGCAAACAGGAUUAGAUACCCUGGUAGUCCACGCCGUAAACGUUGGGCACUAGGUGUGGGUCUCAACCAACGAGAUCCGCGCCGUCGCUACGCAUUAAGUGCCC
rnacentral:rRNA from 1 species